rnacentral:rRNA from 1 species
GGGGCUCAACCCCCGUAUGGCCAUAGAAACUGAUAGACUAGAGUGCAGGAGAGGGCAAUGGAAUUCCAUGUGUAGCGGUAAAAUGCGUAGAUAUAUGGAGGAACACCAGUGGCGAAGGCGGUUGCCUGGCCUGUAACUGACGCUGAAGCACGAAAGCGUGGGGAGCAAAUAGGAUUAGAUACCCUAGUAGUCCACGCCGUAAACGAUGAAUACUAAGUGUUGGAGAAAUUCAGUGCUGCAGUUAACGCAAUAAGUAUUCCGCCUGGGGAGUAUGCACGCAAGUGUGAAACUCAAAGGAAUUGACGGGACCCCGCACAAGCGGUGGAUUAUGUUGUUUAAUUCGACGCAACGCGAAGAACCUUACCAGGCCUUGACAUACUCAGCAAAACCCUAGAGAUAGGGUGGAGGUUAUCUGGGAUACAGGUGGUGCAUGGUUGUCGUCAGCUCGUGUCGUGAGAUGUUGGGUUAAGUCCCGCAACGAGCGCAACCCUUGUCUUUAGUUACCAUCAUUCAGUUGGGGACUCUAGAGAGACUGCCGGUGAUAAACCGGAGGAAGGUGGGGAUGACGUCAAAUCAUCAUGCCCCUUAUGGCCUGGGCUACAAACGUAAUACAAUGGCGUAUACAAAGGGAUGCGAAAGGGUGACCUGGAGCAAAACUCACAAAGUACGUCUCAGUUCAGAUUGGAGUCUGCAACUCGACUCCAUGAAGGCGGAAUCGCUAGUAAUCGCGGAUCAGCAUGCCGCGGUGAAUACGUUCUCGGGGUUUGUACACACCGCCCGUCAAACCAUGAGAGUUGGUAAUACCCGAAGCCGGUGGCCUAACCUCGCAAGAGGAGGGAGCCGUCGAAGGUAGGAUCGAUGAUUAGGGUUAAGUCGUAANCAAGGUAUCCCUACGGGAACGUGGGGCUGGAUCACCUCCUUCU